rnacentral:rRNA from 1 species
UGGGGAAUAUUGCACAAUGGGCGCAAGCCUGAUGCAGCCAUGCCGCGUGUAUGAAGAAGGCCUUCGGGUUGUAAAGUACUUUCAGCGGGGAGGAAGGGAGUAAAGUUAAUACCUUUGCUCAUUGACGUUACCCGCAGAAGAAGCACCGGCUAACUCCGUGCCAGCAGCCGCGGUAAUACGGAGGGUGCAAGCGUUAAUCGGAAUUACUGGGCGUAAAGCGCACGCAGGCGGUUUGUUAAGUCAGAUGUGAAAUCCCCGGGCUCAACCUUGGAACUGCAUCUGAUACUGGCAAGCUUGAGUCUCGUAGAGGGGGGUAGAAUUCCAGGUGUAGCGGUGAAAUGCGUAGAGAUCUGGAGGAAUACCGGUGGCGAAGGCGGCCCCCUGGACGAAGACUGACGCUCAGGUGCGAAAGCGUGGGGAGCAAACA